rnacentral:rRNA from 1 species
CCUACGGGUGGCAGCAGUGAGGAAUAUUGGUCAAUGGGCGCAAGCCUGAACCAGCCAAGUAGCGUGAAGGAUGACUGCCCUACGGGUUGUAAACUUCUUUUAUAAAGGUAUAAAGUGAGGCACGUGUGCCUUUGUGUAUGUACUUUAUGAAUAAGGAUCGGCUAACUCCGUGCCAGCAGCCGCGGUAAUACGGAGGAUGCGAGCGUUAUCCGGAUUGAUUGGGUUUAAAGGGUGCGUAGGCGGGCAUUUAAGCCGGCGGUAAAAUGUCGGGGCUCAACCCCGGCCUGCCGUCGGAACUGGGUGCCUUGAGUGGGCGAGAGGUAUGCGGAAUGCGUGGUGUAGCGGUGAAAGGCAUAGAUAUCACGCAGAACCCCGAUUGCGAAGGCAGCAUACCGGCGCCCUACUGACGCUGAGGCACGAAAGUGUGGGUAUCGAACAGGAUUAGAUACCCUAGUAGUC